rnacentral:rRNA from 1 species
AGUGAACGCUGGCGGUAGGCCUAACACAUGCAAGUCGAACGGCAGCACAGUAAGAGCUUGCUCUUACGGGUGGCGAGUGGCGGCCGGGUGAGGAAUACAUCGGAAUCUACUUUUUCGUGGGGGAUAACGUAGGGAAACUUACGCUAAUACCGCAUACGACCUACGGGUGAGAGCAGGGGAUCUUCGGACCUUGCGCGAUUGAAUGAGCCGAUGUCGGAUUAGCUAGUUGGCGGGGUAAAGGCCCACCAAGGCGACGAUCCGUAGCUGGUCUGAGAGGAUGAUCAGCCACACUGGAACUGAGACACGGUCCAGACUCCUACGGGAGGCAGCAGUGGGGAAUAUUGGACAAUGGGCGCAAGCCUGAUCCAGCCAUACCGCGUGGGUGAAGAAGGCCUUCGGGUUGUAAAGCCCUUUUGUUGGGAAAGAAAAGCAGCAGGUUAAUACCCCGCUGUUCUGACGGUACCCAAAGAAUAAGCACCGGCUAACUUCGUG